CUGCCAUAUCACAUUGAAACACCGGUUCACGUACGAUCACUGAAGUUAAGCAACACUUGUCAGUAUUGAGAUGGGUGACUGCUUAGGAAUACCAGGUGCU